rnacentral:lncRNA from 1 species
CAUCCUCCGCUCUUUGGUUACUAUCCGCCCUCUUCGGUCGGUGCUAGCUCAACUCCUAGGUUCCGCUCUCUCAAUGCUAGGCAAGGGGCUUGACUCUCCACUCGUCUUUCCUUAAUGCUCGCUUUGCGCUGCUCAGUGUGCUCAAAUGGUUCUGCUUCAUGCUCGGCAACGGGAUCCGCUCUGCUAACUCGAUGGUCAAGUGCGAGCUGCUCUAGUAAGGGUCGCAUCCUGAUCCUGUCCAAUAUUGCUUCCUUUUGUGAAAUCAAUGUGUUCCAAUUUCUGGCCUUGCACUAACCAUCCAAUGGACCAUGGACUAAA